ensembl:snRNA LOC120103210 U6 spliceosomal RNA
UUGAUUCAGCAACACAGAUACUAAAAUUGGAACGAUACAGAGAUUAGCAUGGUCCCUGUGCAAGGAUGACUUGCAAAUUCAUAAAAUAUUCCAUAUUUUA